CGCCUUGCCAGCCCGCUCAGAACUUAAUGAAUUGACGGGGCCCGCACAAGCGGUGGAGCAUGUGGUUUAAUUCGAUGAUACGCGAGGAACCUUACCUGGGCUCAAAUGUAUGUUGACGUAUUCUGAAAGGGAUACUUCUUCGGACAAUAUACAAGGUGCUGCAUGGUUGUCGUCAGCUCGUGCCGUGAGGUGUCGGGUUAAGUCCCAUAACGAGCGCAACCCCUAUCAUUAGUUGCCAUCAGGUCAAGCUGGGGACUCUAAUGAAACUGCCUACGCAAGUAGUGAGGAAGGUGGGGAUGACGUCAAAUCAGCACGGCCCUUACGUCCAGGGCUACACACGUGCUACAAUGGUCGGUACAAAGGGUUGCCAAGCCGCGAGGUGGAGCUAAUCCCAUAAAACCGAUCGUAGUCCGGAUCGCAGUCUGCAACUCGACUGCGUGAAGUCGGAAUCGCUAGUAAUCGUGAAUCAGAAUGUCACGGUGAAUACGUUCCCGGGCCUU
rnacentral:rRNA from 1 species